rnacentral:rRNA from 1 species
CACAUGCAAGUCUACUUGAUCCUUCGGGUGAAGGUGGCGGACGGGUGAGUAACGCGUAAAGAACUUGCCUUACAGACUGGGACAACAUUUGGAAACGAAUGCUAAUACCGGAUAUUAUGAUUGGGUCGCAUGAUCUGGUUAUGAAAGCUAUAUGCGCUGUGAGAGAGCUUUGCGUCCCAUUAGUUAGUUGGUGAGGUAACGGCUCACCAAGACGAUGAUGGGUAGCCGGCCUGAGAGGGUGAACGGCCACAAGGGGACUGAGACACGGCCCUUACUCCUACGGGAGGCAGCAGUGGGGAAUAUUGGACAAUGGACCAAAAGUCUGAUCCAGCAAUUCUGUGUGCACGAUGAAGUUUUUCGGAAUGUAAAGUGCUUUCAGUUGGGAAGAAGUCAGUGACGGUACCAACAGAAGAAGCGACGGCUAAAUACGUGCCAGCAGCCGCGGUAAUACGUAUGUCGCAAGCGUUAUCCGGAUUUAUUGGGCGUAAAGCGCGUCUAGGCGGCUUAGUAAGUCUGAUGUGAAAAUGCGGGGCUCAACCCCGUAUUGCGUUGGAAACUGCUAAACUAGAGUACUGGAGAGGUAGGCGGAACUACAAGUGUAGAGGUGAAAUUCGUAGAUAUUUGUAGGAAUGCCGAUAGG